AACAUCGCCUCUUGCUUCACAUAAGAGGUCCAGCCUGCCAGUGAAUUUUAACGGCCGCGGUACCCUGACCGUGCGAAGGUAGCAUAAUCACUCGUUCUCUAAAUAAGGACUUGUAUCAAUGGCAUCACGAGAGUCACACUGUCUCCUCUCUCCAAUCAGUGAACCUAAUCUCCCCGUGAAGAAGCGGGGCUACACCCAUAAGACGAGAAGACCCCAUGGAGCUUUAAACCUUAAAGCAAUUUAAAUAAAAUAUUUCCACAUAUACUUUAUUUAUGCAUGAAAGUUUUGGGUUGGGGUGACCGCGGAGCAAAAACUAACCUCCACAACGAAAAGAACUAAAUCUUUAUCUAAGAACUACUAUUCUAAGAAUCAACACACUGACGAAUACUGAUCCGAUAAUCGAUCAAUGAACCAAGUUACCCUGGGGAUAACAGCGCAAUCUACUUCGAGAGCUCAUAUCGACAAGUAGGCUUACGACCUCGAUGUUGGAUCAGGGUAUCCCAGUGGUGCAGCCGCUACUAAUGGUUCGUUUGUUCAACGAUUAAAACCC
rnacentral:rRNA from 1 species